rnacentral:rRNA from 1 species
GACGAACGCUGGCGGCGUGCUUAACACAUGCAAGUCGAACGAAGUGGCGAACGGGUGAGUAACGCGUAAUCAACCUGCCCUUCAGAGGGGGAACAAAGUAGGAAACGACUGCUAAUACCGCAUACUGCAGGCGGGGGUUGCGUCUGAUUAGCUAGUUGGAGGGGGAAUGGCCCACCAAGGCGAUGAUCAGUAGCCGGUCUGAGAGGAUGAACGACCACAUGGGGACUGAGACAAGGCCCAGAAUCCUACGGGAGGCAGCAGUGGGGAAUCUUCCUCAAUGGACGAAAGUCUUACGGAGCAACGCCGCGUGAGUGAUGACGGCCUUCGGGUUGUAAAGCUCUGUUAAUCGGGACGCGGUACCGGAAUAGAAAGCCACGGCUAACUACGUGCCAGCAGCCGCGGUAAUUC